UCAUCAAGUAGGAUUAUCCUUACCUGUUCCUCUAUUCAGAAGGAGAUAGAACAUGGUUAUUGGAGUUCACCUGAUUCGUGAUUAAGGUUUCUGAGUGAUUAGGGCUUGAAAAACACCCUAAUUGCUCCUAUCUGAU